UCAUAACCCGAAGGUCGUCGGUUCGAAUCCGGCCCCCGCAACCA
rnacentral:tRNA from 1 species